rnacentral:rRNA from 1 species
AGUGAACGCUGGCGGUAUGCCUAACACAUGCAAGUCGAACGGCAGCACAGUAAGAGCUUGCUCUUACGGGUGGCGAGUGGCGGACGGGUGAGGAAUACAUCCGAAUCUACUUUUUCGUGGGGGAUAACGUAGGGAAACUUACGCUAAUACCGCAUACGACCUACGGGUGAAAGCAGGGGAUCUUCGGACCUUGCGCGAUUGAAUGAGCCGAUGUCGGAUUAGUUAGUUGGCGGGGUAAAGGCCCACCAAGGCGACGAUCCGUAGCUGGUCUGAGAGGAUGAUAAGCCGCACUGGAACUGAGACACGGUCCAGACUCCUACGGGAGGCAGCAGUGGGGAAUAUUGGACAAUGGGCGCAAGCCUGAUCCAGCCAUACCGCGUGGGUGAAGAAGGCCUUCGGGUUGUAAAGCCCUUUUGUUGGGAAAGAAAAGCAGCAGGUUAAUACCCCGCUGUUCUGACGGUACCCAAAGAAUAAGCACCGGCUAACUUCGUG